CCUGCCCCGCGAUGGUUGUCUUGGAUGUCGCAAGCAGGACGCGCGACCCUAGGGCCGGAGCUCUCGGCGACGGAGGCCCUUGGCGACGCUGACGCGGAGUCCCACGCCGCCGGAGCAGUUGGCGAAAGCCAGCAUGACGCGGCGGACGUCCGGGGUAAGCCCGACUGCGCGCGCCAGGUGCAGGUCGCCGCCGGGGAACCACGCCUCGCUGGAGGAGACGUAGACGAGGUGGGUGAUCAGCGCGGCUCACCCUCCUCUCCCUACCAAGGCUGCUGGCAGCGCCGAGGAGGAGCUCCUUUCCUUCGUAAGCCGGGUGGAGGCGCGGAGGAGGAGCUGGACGCGGCCCUCCCCUCCCGAGUCAGAUGGCGGCAUGGAGGAGGAGUUGGCCGUCGUCCUCUCCCUCCUGACUGAUAGCGGCGCGGAGAAGGAGCUGGACGCCCUCCUCUCCCUCGAUCUGCACCUCCACCGGUCUCCCAUGGCCGAUGUCUUCCUCCAUGGCUGCAUAAGCAGCAACGCCUCUGGUCAGUGGUCACCAGCCCACCACCACCGUAUGGGAGAGCCACGUGAGGAGGCCGAUGACAGCGACCUAGGCGAGGCGCCGCGACGGCGGAAGCCGGCGCAGUGAUGUGUCUUGCCGGCGGGCAGAAGCUUGGGAAGAGGCGGGUGACGGCGACGGCAUUACGUUCGCCGAGCAGAGCAAGAUUGCUAGGGUCGUGCGCAAGAGGGAGGAACUUCGUGAAGGGGUCGCGUGGCCGACCUCGCGGCCAGAGCGGACCAGGCCAGGCCAGGAGCGCGCAGGGUCUGCCGGAGUCGAGGCGAGCGGAACCACCUUCUUUCCAUGACCGAUCUUCUCCCUUUCUUCACUUUCCCUAUCCUAGCUCCUCGCCGCGGCCGUUUCGUCGUCACCGCCAUACCCGGUCUCCAUCACGGCGCUGCCUUAGGCGACGCACCGCUGGGGUGGACGAGCUCGAUGGGGGACGUUCCAGCCGCCCUCCUCCCGCUCCUAUCUCUGGUGGGGGCCAACCCUCGCUGACGCCCGCAUCAGGAGGCGCUCAGACACGCGCCACGACAAGCUCUGGCGAAAUCUGCCUCCUCUAUGCCUCGCAACGACAGAGCAAUAGCACCGAAGGUUAUUUUGCAGGUGUCUUCAUUAUAAGUAUAUGGUUGGGACUUGGGAUCAUGAUCAUAUAGUUAUUCCUGAAGGCUACACUGCAAUUCAGAUCAAAAUUGAGGUUAUUUUGGUUGGUUGCUGGACUGCAGGUCGUUGGUGAUGCAGGCUUAAUCCGUGCUCGCCCCUGCUUCCCUGCUGCCCAACGGGGUGUUGCCGAAUGUGGAUGCUGAUGCGAGUACGGAGGCUGCUAUAGCAUUGGUGUAAGCUCGAGGACAAGGCCACUUGAGAGCGGAGAGAGGACGAAGAGGCAGGGUGGAUGCCGUUGUCAACUGUUGACUUAUCUUACAGUCACAUCCAGUGUGUUUUGUUCACCUUUAUAUCUAGAUUUGUGCUUUCUUAUCAACGUAGGUGAAGUUAGUUUGGUGGUUUCAGAUAUGGGGAGUGGUGCUAAAUACAUUCCUUUAUUAUUUUCUGGCCAAAUACAAUUCUGGUGGUUUCAGAUAUGGGGAGGGGUGCUAAAUACAUUACUUUAUUAUUUUCUGGCCAAAUACAAUUCUGGAAGUUAAGAGUUUAUGGUAAAUAUGUACCUCAUGAAUCCUGAUAAACCAAUUGGUAAAAUAGUACUAAUAUACAUCCGUUUAUAUUUAAUUUCCCCUGCUCUCUCUGAAAAUAUUCAAUUGUUUUUGUUGCAGAUGAAAUAUAUGUUCAGAGGAUGUGUCUUGGUCUUGCCGCUGCCCUCUUAUUUGUUUGGCUUGAGGGAGCAUAACAAUUGGCAAUAUGCAUUGCAGGUUUAUGUCUGAAGAUUGUGGACUGGAUGUUCGAGGAGUAGAAGCAUCUCAUCAUGGAGUACCUUCCUGGUGGAGAUAUGAUGACUUUGCAUAUUGGCAAGGACACACCGACAGAAGAUGAAGCCAAUUCUACAUUGCAGAAACUGUACUUGCAAUAGAGUCUAUUCAAAAGCACAAUUACGUUCACCGAUAUCGCAUAACUCUUCUCUUGCUCUUAUAAUAUUUUUGUUGAUUCCAAAAUCUAGCAUGUAUCUUUGUGUUCAUUUUGUCAGGGAUGUCAAGCCUGAAAAUCUAUUGUCAGUUCUCACCUACAGACAUCGUAGCAAUGGCAACACCAACAUCUACUAAAUGGGUGUUGUGUACCGGGUUUAGUAUUUAUCUACUAGAUGUGUGUUGUGUACUGGGUUUAGUAUUAUAAAUUAGACGUGUGUUAUGUACAGGGUUUACUAAAAUCCGUAGCCAAGUCCCUCUACCCACCUGCCUGUUAUAUCCUUGGAUUUUCCGAUCAUGUGAAUCAAUAAUGUGCUCACCUCUAAA